rnacentral:lncRNA from 1 species
GGGGAGGAGUCCAAUGUGAUUCGGGUCGGGUCACAGCACUCCGAUUACCCGGUGUGGGUUUAUCUGGUCCAUUACCAAUCGCCAUCGGAAACCUAACAAAGCUCGAAACUUUAUCUUUCCGAUUCAAUGCUCUUAAUGGUCCUCUCCCGCCGGAUUUCGCUAACCUAACUCUCCUCCGAUACUUGUAUCUUCAAGGAAACGCAUUUUCCGGCGAGAUUCCUUCGUUUCUCUUCACUUUACCAAACAUUAUUCGGAUCAAUCUCGCUCAAAACAAUUUCUCGGGUCGGAUCCCGGAUAAUGUCAAUUCAGCGACCCGGUUAGCUACUCUUUACUUGCAGGAUAAUCAACUUACCGUUAUCAGAAAUGUCAAUUCAGCGACCCGGUGGCUACUCUAAAUAUAUGAGAAAUCUAUAUAUAUAAUGAGAGAGUUUUCUCUCCAUCUAGAGUGUCCACAUAGGCGACACAUCAGCGUACACGUCAUCAUACAUUUUUAAUAGGUAUAAAAUGUUACCAAAAAGAUUCGAACCCCUUACCCAAUACAUUUAAUAGGUUCAUUUCAAACCAAAUUGCCAUUUAAAUCGUUUUAAUUGAUAUCAAAAUUUAAAUUAUAUAUAUGACUUUAUAAAACUCCCACUCAAUUUAUUUAUUAAACGAAGAAACAUUUAAAAAAAUUUCACAUACUUUUAUAUUAUCAUCUUUUAAUAAAAGAAAAUAUUUUUUCAUAAACAAUAACAUUGUUUACUAUAAAUAAAAAGUAAUAUAAUAUAACACACAAAAAUAUGUGAAUAGAAGUUAAUAUACAAAUAGAUAAUUCAAAAAUAGAAGUUAAUGAAUUAAUAAAACACAGCACAAAAAUAUAUAAGAUAACAAUAUGAAUAAAAAUUAGAAGCAUAUAGAUAAUUUUCAAAUACAUAUAAUUUAUAUAUGAGAAGUAGAAAACAAAAAAAUAUGUUAUCACGCUAGAAAGACAUUAACCUUUUCAAGAGUUAUAAAAUAUUUAGAUUAAAAAAGUUUAUAUGAUAGUAAACUAUAGAAUUUAGAUUACACGAAAUAAGAAUAUCUAUUUUUCAAGAAAAAAGUAUGUAUCCAAAAUCAAGAUAAUAUAUAUAUAAAAUUGUAUAAUAUAUUUAAGGAAAGAAUUGUGAUUUAAAAGUACAAUUAGAUACAAGAUUUCUUUAAACAAUAACGUUAGAGUGCAAUGUUUCAUGGAAAAUGCAAUGUAUGAGAAUAGAAAGAAUCCAAAUAUAAAAUUUAAUAUGUAGGAAAAAGAACAUUUUAUAAUAGACAAGAAAAAAUAAAAUAUAAAAAUGAAAUAGAUAAAGAGAAUAUAAUUUUAAUAUAAGUUUAUAAUGAAUCAAAAAUUUAAUCAAUUAUUUUAACGAAAAGAACGUGAAAAGAGAUAAAAUGUCGCGAGGUGGACGACUGCAUAUUAGAAUAUGACGAAUAAAAUGACAGCGAAAUAAUUUCAAGAGAAAUUGACUAAAUUCAAAAAGAUGUAUGAACAUGACAUGGUCGAGAUUGUAUUAUAUUUCUCUGAAUUUUUUCAACUAAUUUUUUACCACGUGUUACCUAAAAAUUUGUUGGUUUUUUUCAAGAGAAACAUUAUUCUCAAUAAAAUCUAUGUUAUAUAUCAUUCAUAAUUAAAUAGGUUUAUGUCAUUAUAGAUUUAUCUUUUAAAAUUCAAUAUAUAUAUUUAUAUUCACGUCUUAUAUUGUUAAUAGUUUAUAAGUAAAAUCCCGCGCAUUGCGCGGGGUCACAAAUCUAGUGAAUUUCAAUUACAAAUCUUUACUUAACUAAAACAAAUCUAAAUAAUUAAUGCUAAUGGCAUGUCAUUGUAAAUACUUCUCAACUUCAGGAUUUAUUUGCUAAUUGUGAUCCAAAAAUGUAUAUAAUAAAGAUUAUUUGGUUUCUAAUCAAUUUUAAUUUGUAGUUUAAGUUUCAAUUAACUUGAUCGUUAAUUUAAUAUUGGUUAAUAAAUUAAAUGCAGGACUAUUGAGGUGUGUUGAAAGCUGCAGAUUGCGAUGGAUAAAUUAUUUAAGACCUGAUUUAAAAAGAGGUCUUUUAUCAGAGAGUUGCGUUCACUGUUCAAAAGGAUUUAACUUUGGUAAGAAGAAGAUGAAGAACACGACCAACUUAAGCUUCUCUGUCUUCUUCUUUCUCUUCUGUCUCAUUUCCGUAACAUCAGAUCUAGAAGCUGAUCGACGAGCAUUAAUAGCUCUCCGUGAUGGUGUCCAUGGCCGUCCAUUGCUCUGGAAUUUAUCAGCACCACCGUGUACUUGGGGAGGAGUCCAAUGUGAUUCGGGUCGGGUCACAGCACUCCGAUUACCCGGUGUGGGUUUAUCUGGUCCAUUACCAAUCGCCAUCGGAAACCUAACAAAGCUCGAAACUUUAUCUUUCCGAUUCAAUGCUCUUAAUGGUCCUCUCCCGCCGGAUUUCGCUAACCUAACUCUCCUCCGAUACUUGUAUCUUCAAGGAAACGCAUUUUCCGGCGAGAUUCCUUCGUUUCUCUUCACUUUACCAAACAUUAUUCGGAUCAAUCUC